CUGGGACACUGGAGCAGAAGGAUUUGGGAACCACCUUUCUACAGGCUUUGGUGUCUCAGCGCGGGAGGCACAGAUGGCGAGGUCUGCCUUUGGCCAGGUGUGGGCGCCCAGUGUUGGGGGAGAAGACUGCAGGCACAGAAGACUGAACUCACAGGCAGAAGGAGAAAGUGAAGAGAAGAGAGGGAGAAGGGCCCUGACCGAGGCCACCAGCUUGUAAGUAGCAGCCCUAGGCUUGGGACCAGGGCCUCCUGAAGGUGACAGUCCUUUCAGCCAUGUGUCCUUGUUCCUCUAGUUACCUCCAAUUAACUCUAGGUAACCCAGCCCAGUCUUUGAUUCUGUGUUGAAAGGUGCGAGGUGCUGGAGCCGGGAAGAGGUGCGUUCUUGCUCUCGACAGGAAGUGUCAUGUGAGUUUCCGGUUCCCUCUCCUCCACUACCACUCUGGAUCCUCACACCAGCCCACAGAGGGAGACAGGAAGGGAGGCACAAAGGCAGGGCAGGGAAUACUGUGCCUGUUUUCCAGAUGAAGACACGAAGGCCAAGAGAGGGAAAGUGAGUCGGCCAAGGUCCUCCAGCUAGUCGGGGUUGAGCGUGUUUAACCUUAGGAAACGUGACUGCAGAGCAAGGGGCUUUCAUCUUCCUGUGGGAAUUCGCCCCCUUUCUCACAGGGGCCCUCAAGAGACUAGGCAGGCUCCUCCUGCAAAGGAUUCCUCUUUGUCCAUUUGAGAGGCCUCACCCCAGGCUCUAGGAGCUGACAUGAUUCAGCUCAAGGAAGACUCAGUAUGAAGGGAGAACCAGGAACCUGGGCCUCUGCCCCUCACCUGUGGCCUUGAACAGGUCACUUCUCCCCUCAAGCCUUGGUGUCCUCCCCUGUAGAGCUGAGGGGGUGAGGAGUAGAUGAGCUGAUCCUUCAGUUUGCUGCCCUCUUUGACCCGGAAGUGCUGGGCCUGCACAACCCUGCAUCCCUGGCACCAGUGCUCCUAGCCCCACCCUGCUCCAGAUGCCCAGUGCCUGAAGAGCCAGCUCCCCAUCAGCACUCAGUCCUGGGGCAGAGCCAGGCCUGGCAAUGCUGGGGGAGACCCUGGAGGGGAACAUCAUGGGCCACCAGGGGCACGCUGCAAAUGCAGCAACUAAUGCACCAGGGGCGCCAGGGUGCAAUCUAUCUAAGCAGUUCUCUCACGCUCUUUGCACGUUAAUAAUGCAUGGGCAGCCGGUGUGGGGGCCAUCACAGGCCCAACGUCAGGUGGCAUUAGGA
rnacentral:lncRNA from 10 species